UUUGCUAUAUGACGAGAGUUGUAACCGUUGAAAAACGCAAAGCCGACUUUAUCUGUCGAAGAAGGAGCUGUGACACCGGUUAAGAAAUGCAGGGCCCGGUCGCCGGCGAGAUAGCGUGUCGUAAGCGCGAGACAUAACCGCCAGAUAAAGGAUGAAAUUCACCAGAGGAAAACAUGAGCGGUAAUCUUGGAGGAAUGGGCAUGGAGAGAGAGAGAGAGAGAGAGAGAGAGAGACGGUUUACAGUGCCACAGAGGAAGAGAGCGCGCGCGAUAGAGAGAGGGGAAGAAUGUAUGCAUGUGUGUGCGCGCGCAUUGGCCUUUGAUGAGCGCGCGACUAAAAAUAAUUCUAUCUGUCCAUUAAAUGUAAACACGUUCUGCAAUUCAUUUCGGCGACAAAUUAUUUCUCUCUCUUUGAUAGGCAUUAGUUGCUCAUAAUCUUGUCCAGAUACGUCAUAGUUACAUAAUAUAAUGUUACUAAAAACCUUUCCGUCAUUGACUAUUUAAAUCGGUUGCUUUGAAGGUUCCUGUGCUUGGUCCUAAAAGUUUUGUACCUCAGUGGAUUUAAGGUCACUUGUAGUGAGAGAUUUAAGAGAAUAUAAGCUGUUUCAUUGGUCAAUUUUUCCUAAAGGAGCAAUAUAAAACAUACAAAAAUUGGCUAUUUCAAUUUGUACAAGUUAAAGUCAGAUUAAUCAACAUUUGUUUGCACUACAAAUCUAUGUUCUUAUUGGAAGGUUACUCUGCAGCCUUAACACAAAGUAUAAGAAGCUAAUAUGUGGAUCAAAGAUAUUCAGUUGUGGUUGAUGCACUCAGUAAAUAAUUAUCAAAUGGCCUGCCAAAUGUCCUAAUUUUUGAUGGAGAAUUGAUUGAAAAUGCAUGUUAUGUAUUUUUUCCUUCUUAUGUGUGAGAGACUGAGGGUCAUCACUAGAAAACUACUCAUUAGGCCAACAUAGAACCAUUAUCUAAACAUACUGUCCACCCACUUAAUCAGACGUCUGAGUUCCGUAAGUAUUUUCCCCAUUCAUUUUUUCCCAUAGACUUUUCAUAAAAUCCUUCAUAAAAGAGUUGUAAUCCAUGAACCAAACUAACCAGCUCUGAGGUAAAUCACAACAUCACAAACUUUGUUUUGAGGCAAAAAAGUAUUAAAAAAUCAGACAAAAAGAAAAAGGUACGAGACUGUGUAUUUGCUGUCUUUCACGAGGUCAUGAACUACAAUCCCAUGAAGCAUUGCGAACGAUGUAAUUGAAUAAAAAACUAUGGGAAUAUAUAAAUUCUAUAUUCUAUAAUUCUAAAAGUUGAUUAUAAGUAUAGAAACAAUAUAUUUUAUGUUUAUUGCAAAAUAUUCAGAUAUGUACAAAUAGAUAAGUAGUUCAAGGGAGAUGAGAGAUGGGCUCGAUUACGUCAAUCACAUGUGAGCGCACGGUCCCUCCGAGGCACGUUUUGCGGGAUUUGGCUGCAGUUCUCUGACUGACCAUAGGUAAUGUAGUUGUUCACUGGGAUUACCACUGUCAAACACAAUUUAAAAAAAAGGAAGUUGAAAUAACACAGAUGGAUGGCUUCAACGGCAUAUACCGUUGAUGAACAACCUCAGAGCUCAAGAACCAGACUGUUGCGGUCUAUUGAGAAGUGCAGUUUAACUGCCUGUGGUUGUCCUGAAUGAAAUUACAUCAUUGUGACACUAAAGAACAAUUUUUUCCUCACGUGACCAGACUCAACUCAUCCUCUGAGAUUAUACAAAAGUGUACUGCAAGACUUAUAAUGAGACUAUGAAGAAGAAGUUUUCCUACUUUCAUCCUGGAAAAGGCAGAGCUGAGAAACUAAAUCAAGAUUGUGGCAAAGGGAGAGAAGACUAAAUUUUAAAUCUUUUAUACAGUUGAUGUAUCUUUUUUUUUUUUAAUGCAUAUGUUGUUAGGAGUUCUUUAAGUGGGUGUUUUCAGUGGUUAAAUGAUUGUUAUGUUUUGCAGUUGCUGGAGACCAGGUUAACAGAGACAGACACAGGCGUAUUUUGUAUUCCGUUGACAUGAUGUCUGAUGAAGAAGAUGGUGUUGUCUACAGGAGGCCAGUGUGAGUUGUAGAACACACAGCUUUGAGAAGCUCUGUUCCAGGAGCUACAGAACAGACUUGAUGCAGACCCACACUAUACUGGGAACUAAUCACUUGUGUGAUGACAAGUGACAAAGUCAGAUGCCAGUUCAUUUACUGAACUCUAUUUGAAGCAUCACAAUGUGUUUCAGAUUUUUGUAUAUUUUAUUAUAGUUUAGUUUGUAUAUUUCACGUUUUCUUUUUAAAUAAAGAUCUUUU